rnacentral:lncRNA from 1 species
CCCAGGUGGAAUGUAAAAUAUGGCACAAAUGAACCUAUCUAUAGAACAGAAACAGACUCACAGACAUGGAGAAUAGACUUGUGUUGUGUUGGGGUAGAAGUGGGAUGGACUGGGACUUUGGGGUUAGUAGAUACAAACUAUUACAUUUAGAAUGGAUAAGCAAUGGGAUGCUGCUGUAUAACACAGGGAAUGAUAUCCAAUCACUUGUGAUAGAACAUGAUGGCAGAUAAUACGAGAAAAAGAAUGUAUUUUUAUGUAUGACUGAGUCACUUUGCUGUAUGGAAGAAACUGACACAACAUUGUAACUCAACUAUACUUUCAUAAAAAAUUUUAAAAAUAAAGCCCUGAAAAUCUAAAGGAAGGGGGAGAAUCUGAUUUCCAGAAUUACCACACUGUUAAAUUCAAAUGUCCAGUUUUGAAUCUGUCCCUGAAAAAGACCUGAUAGCAAAUCUACUAGACAAAGACUUUAGAAUGACUGUCAUAUUGAUGCUCAGAGAACUAAAAAAAGAAGUGGAGAAAGUAAAGAAAAUAAUACAUGAACAAAAUGGAAAUGUCAAUAAAGGGAGAAAAAAACCUAAAAAUGAACCACAAAAAAUCUGGAUCUAAAAGGUAUAAUAUGGCUGGGGCACCAGAGGUGCCAAGGCGCAGAGAGCCGGCGGGGGUGCAUCUGAUCAGCCUCCUCUCAGCCAGGGAAAGCAUCGCUCUGCUCUCAAUCUUUUCAGAGGUGGAGGGAAAUUCUGGGGUCCCAAGUGUUAAUGGUCCGAAGGUUUAUUUGCCCUCACGCCUUGUCCUAUAUCUAGAGAAUUAAUGUUCUCACUCCCAUUGCCUUCCUUUUUCUGGCCUCUUAGCCCAGUGAUCUGAGUUGAAUAAUGUAUUUUUCAAGCCUAGAUUGUUGCUUUUUUUAUUGCAUGCCUUAAGUCAUUCGACAAAGACCCUGGGAAAAUCUCCUCUGGCCCAUUCUAUGUCCUUGGUUGGCCAAGAGGUCAUGGCACUUUUACCUUCUCUUUGUCUGUGGUCUCCAGAAACUUGGAAGAGACCUGACAGUUCUUAGGUUUGUGAACUCAAAACUAAGAGUUCAGUGUUGCUUUUGGCCCAAUCAGCAAUAAAUAUGAAAGGAGUCUUCUGAAACUACAGUUUUGAUACAUGUUUGAGAUUAGAGAGAGAUUUGCAGAAGGUAGCGUAUUUCAGAGCAGAAGUUGAGAAUUUAAAUAAGGAAAUAGCAUUACUUUUGAACACUUCUGCAUUAUCAUCUUAUCCCACCCUUUCCAAAGGGAGCAUCACUUUGUAUAGUGGUGAGUUGGCAAUCCAGCUACAGUCUUUUCGUAGCCACCACCCUUUCAAGCCUCAGUGUCAUGGUUUAGUCAACACUGCUACUGCACUUUUAGAUUUGGGGAAGUGGGGUAUUUAAUUUGGAAAUUAUAAAAUUAAAGCUCAACAGAUGAGUGACAGCAAGAGUAGAUGGUUCUACAUUUAAGGGAAUUGUCAUCGAUGUUUUCAUUUUCAUACAUAUUUUUGAGAAUAGUUGGCCCUGAAGAAGGAAGUAUCUGAAAUUAUACAAGCUUCAUUCUAGGAUGAACCUUUGGAUUUAACCUCCUCCCAAAUCUAGAAUACCUAUAGUUACCUUAUGUUCAUUUAAAUAAAUUACAUUUUAAUUAUUUUUUAUGUCGGGAAGAUACUGUCCUAGCAUUGCAUUAGCAUUAACAUUUACUCAACACAUUAAUAGGUGCUGGAUUAAAUAAACAUUUUAAAAUGAAAAUAAAUAAAUAAAUAAAAGGUAUAAUAACUGAAAUGAAAGAUUCCACUAGAGGGAUUCAAAGGCAGAUUUUGGCAGGGAGAGGAAAGUCAGAAAACUUGAAGAUAGGACAGUGGAAAUUAUUGAGUCAGAAACAGAGAGAAAAAAGAUUAAAGUGUCAGAGCAUAAAGUACCUGUGGGACACCAUCAAAUGGACCAAUAUACAUAUUGUGGGAGUCCCAGGAGAAGAGAGAGGAAGAAAGGGGCAGAAAGAAUAUCUGAAAAAAUAAUGAUCCCAAACUUGCCAAUUGUUUUUUCUUUUUCUUUUUCCUUUUUUAUUUAUUAUUAUUAUUACUUUUUUUUUUUUUUUUUUUGCUUUUCAGGGCCACACCCAUGGCAUAUGGAGGUUCCCAGAUAAACAGAAGCUGAGGGAGUUUUUUACCACUACACCUAUCCUGUGAAAAUGUUCAAGGGCGUCCUACAGGUUGGAUGAAAUGGCACUAGACAGUAGCUUGAAACUCUAUUUUAAAAAACAGAUAAAGAAGGUGUGAUAUAUAUACACAAUGGAAUACUUCUCAGCCAUAAAAAGAAUGAAACUUUGCCAUUUGCAGCGACAUGGACGGACUUGGAGGGAAUUAUGCUAAGUGAAAUAAGUCAGACCGAAAGACAAAUAUGGUCUGAUUAUAUGUAGACUCUAAAAAAAUACAGCAAACUAGUGAAUAUAACAAAUAAAAAGAAGACUCACAGAUACAGAAAACAAACUGUAUCUGUGGUUACCAGCGGGAAGAGGGCAGGGAGGAGGGGCAAGGGAGGGGAAGGGGAGAAGGAGGUACUAACUGUUAGGUACAAAACAGGCAAGAAGGAAACACUGCACAACAUUAGGAAUAUGGCAAGUAUUUUAUAAUAAGUGGAGUACAACUUUUAAAAAUUGCAAAUCACUAUACCGCACACCUGUAACUUACAUAAUAUGGUAUGUCAAUUAUAAAUCCAUUUAAAAAACUAACUUCAAAAAACUCAGGAAAGGUGGAGUUCCCAUCGAGGCUCAGUGGUUAGCAAACCCGACUAGUGUCCAUGAGGAUGUGGGUUCGAUCCCUGGCCUUGCUCAGUGGGUUGAGGAUCUGGCAUUGCCUAUGAGCUAUAAUGUGGCUACACAGACGUGGCUUGGAUCCCGUGUUGCUGUGGCUGUGGUGUAGGCC